rnacentral:rRNA from 1 species
AUUGAACGCUGGCGGCAGGCCUAACACAUGCAAGUCGAACGAGUGGCGGACGGGUGAGUAAUGUCUGGGAAACUGCCUGAUGGAGGGGGAUAACUACUGGAAACGGUAGCUAAUACCGCAUACAAUUGGAUGUGCCAAUAUGGGAUUAGCUGGUUGGUGGGGUAACGGCUCACCAAGGCGACGAUCCCUAGCUGGUCUGAGAGGAUGACCAGCCACACUGGAACUGAGACACGGUCCAGACUCCUACGGGAGGCAGCAGUGGGGAAUAUUGCACAAUGGGCGCAAGCCUGAUGCAGCCAUGCCGCGUGUAUGAAGAAGGCCUUCGGGUUGUAAAGUACUUUCAGCGGGGAGGCGUUACCCGCAGAAGAAGCACCGGCUAACUCCGUGCCAGCAGCCGCGGUAAUUC